GCUGGGCGUGGUGACUCACGCCUGUAAUCUCAGCACUUUGGGAAGCAGAGACGGGUGGAUCACCUGAGGUCAGGAGUUCCAGACCAGCCUGGCCAACAUGGUGAAACCCUGUCUCUA
rnacentral:SRP_RNA from 1 species